rnacentral:rRNA from 1 species
AUAAGACUGGGAUAACUUCGGGAAACCGGAGCUAAUACCGGAUAAUAUUUUGAACCGCAUGGUUCAAAAGUGAAAGACGGUCUUGCUGUCACUUAUAGAUGGAUCCGCGCUGCAUUAGCUAGUUGGUAAGGUAACGGCUUACCAAGGCAACGAUGCAUAGCCGACCUGAGAGGGUGAUCGGCCACACUGGAACUGAGACACGGUCCAGACUCCUACGGGAGGCAGCAGUAGGGAAUCUUCCGCAAUGGGCGAAAGCCUGACGGAGCAACGCCGCGUGAGUGAUGAAGGUCUUCGGAUCGUAAAACUCUGUUAUUAGGGAAGAACAUAUGUGUAAGUAACUGUGCACAUCUUGACGGUACCUAAUCAGAAAGCCACGGCUAACUACGUGCCAGCAGCCGCGGUAAUACGUAGGUGGCAAGCGUUAUCCGGAAUUAUUGGGCGUAAAGCGCGCGUAGGCGGUUUUUUAAGUCUGAUGUGAAAGCCCACGGCUCAACCGUGGAGGGUCAUUGGAAACUGGAAAACUUGAGUGCAGAAGAGGAAAGUGGAAUUCCAUGUGUAGCGGUGAAAUGCGCAGAGAUAUGGAGGAACACCAGUGGCGAAGGCGACUUUCUGGUCUGUAACUGACGCUGAUGUGCGAAAGCGUGGGGAUCAAACAGGAUUAGAUACCCUGGUAGUCCACGCCGUAAACGAUGAGUGCUAAGUGUUAGGGGGUUUCCGCCCCUUAGUGCUGCAGCUAACGCAUUAAGCACUCCGCCUGGGGAGUACGACCGCAAGGUUGAAACUCAAAGGAAUUGACGGGGACCCGCACAAGCGGUGGAGCAUGUGGUUUAAUUCGAAGCAACGCGAAGAACCUUACCAAAUCUUGACAUCCUUUGACAACUCUAGAGAUAGAGCCUUCCCCUUCGGGGGACAAAGUGACAGGUGGUGCAUGGUUGUCGUCAGCUCGUGUCGUGAGAUGUUGGGUUAAGUCCCGCAACGAGCGCAACCCUUAAGCUUAGUUGCCAUCAUUAAGUUGGGCACUCUAAGUUGACUGCCGGUGACAAACCGGAGGAAGGUGGGGAUGACGUCAAAUCAUCAUGCCCCUUAUGAUUUGGGCUACACACGUGCUACAAUGGACAAUACAAAGGGCAGCGAAACCGCGAGGUCAAGCAAAUCCCAUAAAGUUGUUCUCAGUUCGGAUUGUAGUCUGCAACUCGACUACAUGAAGCUGGAAUCGCUAGUAAUCGUAGAUCAGCAUGCUACGGUGAAUACGUUCCCGGGUCUUGUACACACCGCCCGUCACACCACGAGAGUUUGUAACACCCGAAGCCGGUGGAGUAACCUUUUAGGAGCUAGCCGUCGAAGGUGGGACAAAUGAUUGGGGUGAAGUCGUAACAAGGUAGCCGUAUCGGAAGGUGCGGCUG